rnacentral:rRNA from 1 species
UGCUGGAGGUAUCAGAAGUGCGAAUGCUGACAUAAGUAACGAUAAAGCGGGUGAAAAGCCCGCUCGCCGGAAGACCAAGGGUUCCUGUCCAACGUUAAUCGGGGCAGGGUGAGUCGACCCCUAAGGCGAGGCCGAAAGGCGUAGUCGAUGGGAAACAGGUUAAUAUUCCUGUACUUGGUGUUACUGCGAAGGGGGGACGGAGAAGGCUAUGUUAGCCGGGCGACGGUUGUCCCGGUUUAAGCAUGUAGGCGGAGGUUCCAGGUAAAUCCGGUACCUUUUAACGCUGAGGUGUGAUGACGAGGCACUACGGUGCUGAAGUAACAAAUGCCCUGCUUCCAGGAAAAGCCUCUAAGCAUCAGGUAACAUCAAAUCGUACCCCAAACCGACACAGGUGGUCAGGUAGAGAAUACCAAGGCGCUUGAGAGAACUCGGGUGAAGGAACUAGGCAAAAUGGUGCCGUAACUUCGGGAGAAGGCACGCUGGUGUGUAGGUGAAGUCCCUGCGGAUGGAGCUGAGACCAGUCGAAGAUACCAGCUGGCUGCAACUGUUUAUUAAAAACACAGCACUGUGCAAACACGAAAGUGGACGUAUACGGUGUGACGCCUGCCCGGUGCCGGAAGGUUAAUUGAUGGGGUUAUCCGUAAGGAGAAGCUCUUGAUCGAAGCCCCGGUAAACGGCGGCCGUAACUAUAACGGUCCUAAGGUAGCGAAAUUCCUUGUCGGGUAAGUUCCGACCUGCACGAAUGGCGUAAUGAUGGCCAGGCUGUCUCCACCCGAGACUCAGUGAAAUUGAACUCGCUGUGAAGAUGCAGUGUACCCGCGGCAAGACGGAAAGACCCCGUGAACCUUUACUAUAGCUUGACACUGAACAUUGAGCCUUGAUGUGUAGGAUAGGUGGGAGGCUUUGAAGCGUGGACGCCAGUCUGCGUGGAGCCAACCUUGAAAUACCACCCUUUAAUGUUUGAUGUUCUAACGUUGGCCCCUUAUCGGGGUUGCGGACAGUGUCUGGUGGGUAGUUUGACUGGGGCGGUCUCCUCCCAAAGAGUAACGGAGGAGCACGAAGGUUAGCUAAUCCUGGUCGGACAUCAGGAGGUUAGUGCAAUGGCAUAAGCUAGCUUGACUGCGAGCGUGACGGCGCGAGCAGGUGCGAAAGCAGGUCAUAGUGAUCCGGUGGUUCUGAAUGGAAGGGCCAUCGCUCAACGGAUAAAAGGUACUCCGGGGAUAACAGGCUGAUACCGCCCAAGAGUUCAUAUCGACGGCGGUGUUUGGCACCUCGAUGUCGGCUCAUCACAUCCUGGGGCUGAAGUAGGUCCCAAGGGUAUGGCUGUUCGCCAUUUAAAGUGGUACGCGAGCUGGGUUUAGAACGUCGUGAGACAGUUCGGUCCCUAUCUGCCGUGGGCGCUGGAGAAUUGAGGGGGGCUGCUCCUAGUACGAGAGGACCGGAGUGGACGCAUCACUGGUGUUCGGGUUGUCAUGCCAAUGGCACUGCCCGGUAGCUAAAUGCGGAAGAGAUAAGUGCUGAAAGCAUCUAAGCACGAAACUUGCCCCGAGAUGAGUUCUCCCUGAGACUUUAAGUCUCCUGAAGGAACGUUGAAGACGACGACGUUGAUAGGCCGGGUGUGUAAGCGCAGCGAUGCGUUGAGCUAACCGGUACUAAUGAACCGUGAGGCUUAACCUU